rnacentral:snRNA from 1 species
UGGAAGAGCACCGCACGU